rnacentral:tRNA from 1 species
AUUCAUGGCUCAGUGGUAGAGCACUUGCCUGGCAUGUGUGAGGCCCUGGGUUCCAUCCUCAUAUAAAUA